CACCGCGGGAAUACAGAGGGUGCAAGCGUUAAUCGGAUUUACUGGGCGUAAAGGGCGCGUAGGUGGUUAUGUAAGUGAGAUGUGAAAUCCCCGGGCUCAACCUGGGAACUGCAUCUUAUACUGCGUAGCUGGAGUGCAGUAGAGGGUAGUGGAAUUUCCGGUGUAGCGGUGAAAUGCGUAGAUAUAGGAAGGAACACCAGUGGCGAAGGCGACCACCUGGACUGAUACUGACACUGAGGUGCGAAAGCGUGGGGAGCAAACAGGAUUAGAUACCCCCGUAGUCCCUGUCUCUUAUACACAU
rnacentral:rRNA from 1 species